rnacentral:rRNA from 1 species
UACAGAGGUCCCGAGCGUUGUUCGGAUUCACUGGGCGUAAAGGGUGCGUAGGUGGCAUAGAAAGUUUGAUGUGAAAUCCCCGGGCUUAACCUGGGAAUGGCAUUUGGGACUGCAAGGCUUGAGUUUGGCAGAGGAGACUGGAAUUCCUGGUGUAGCAGUGAAAUGCGUAGAUAUCAGGAGGAAUACCGAUGGCGAAGGCAGGUCUCUGGGCUAGAACUGACGCUCAUGCACGAAAGCGUGGGGAGCAAACAGG